AGCUGCGGAGAGAGAAUACAAAGCGAAAGAGCAGCGUUAAGGGCCACGGCAGGUCCAGUUCCACCUGAAAACACUGGGCACAAGGCAGGAACACCCUGGACGGGACAUCAAUCCAUCACAGAGCAGUUGCAAGAACGGUGAAUUUUAAAUGAUCCGUGCUUGCUGAUGUCACAGUCUGCCCGAUUUGGGGAGACUUAGUCGGAACCAGUUCAGAGUCACCUGCUAUGUGGCUGCAUUUGUCUCACCUUGCAUUGAGACUGUAAAUUGGGUACAACACGUCCACCUAUCACACUUGGUAGCACUCACACCUGCCAACCCCUUCCCAUAGAAACCCUUUGUAACAGAACUGUACAGCACAACUCAAAACAGAAGAAAAACUAAGUCCAUCCAACACCUCGCCCAUAUUCACAGUGCAGACAGUUGUAAACUUUUGCCUAAAGACACGUUGUUGUUGAUACCAGCUGUGCCUGUGUGCAUGCAUGCUGUGCUGUUAACCAA